rnacentral:tRNA from 1 species
CCAAAGGAUAAUAGUAUUCCACUGGUCUUAGGCACCAAAAUCU